AGAUAGCUCAGUCGGUAGAGCAUGAGACUCUUAAUCUCAGGGUUGUGGGUUCAAGCCCCAUGUUGGGUA